rnacentral:lncRNA from 1 species
UUAUAUAUUAAGCAGUACUUUUACAAGAUUUUAUUACUCUUAUUUUAAAAUUAUAAUUAUAUACUUUUUAUUGUAGAAACUGUGAGGAAACCAACCCAUGUGAACAUGAAUAGAGGCAUAAAAAUGCCCCUAAGAAAGCAUAAUUUAGAACUCCCAAUGUCGCCUCACUGUGUACCUUCUAAACUCUGCCUUGAUGAUACAGAAACCAAUCACGAGGCAUGGACUCAUAUAGUACGCUUGACCCUCAGUUCAGCAAAAUAGAGAACUGCAGUUUCACUCCACCAUCUUUUUCAGUGGAGUUAGCUUCUAACAGACAUAUUUCAAAACUAAAUUUCACACCUGGAAUAGCACCUACUCCUCAGAAACUUGCAUAUGAAAAAAAGCAGAAUGACCAGCUCAGUAAUGUUAACUGUUCUGAUUCCUUGCUUUCCAAAUUAAAUAAAAGUCAAGAUGUUCUCAGUCCAUCACAUAAAACUACACAAUUUGGGACAUUAUUUGAAAGAUUAAACAGGUAAGCAAAGAUGCUGAAGGAAAUAAAGAAGUUGUAGCAUUCUGUACUUUCCCUUAGAAAUUUGAUUUUAAUGGACA